UGAAAACUAUUAUUGUGAAGGCCACAGGUGGUGGACCAUACAAAUAUGCAGACUUAUUUAAGGAAAGGCUAGGGAUAACUCUUGACAAGGAAGAUGAAAUGGAUUGUCUUGUCGCAGGAGCCAAUUUUCUUCUCGAGGUAGUUGACCGAGAAGCCUUUACCUAUAUGGGUGAUCAAAGACAAUUUAUGCAGAUUGACCAAAAUGACCUGUAUCCCUAUCUGCUCGUUAAUAUCGGUUCUGGUGUUGGCAUCACUCUAGGUUCUAUAUCCUUAUGAGUAUAGGUAGAAGGAGACGGAAAGUUUGAGCGAGUUAGUGGAACGAGUAUAGGUGGAGGCACUUUCUGGGGUUUAGGAAAGCUUUUAACUAAUUGCAAGAGUUUCGAUGAGUUACUGAAAUUAAGUUAUCAGGGCAACAACAGAGCAGUAGAUAUGCUCGUCGGUGAUAUUUAUGGUGGAAUGGACUAUUCAAAGAUUGGUCUUUCAUCAACGGCAAUAGCGUCUAGUUUUGGAAAGGCAAUGUCUGAUAAUAAGGACCGUGAAGAUUAUAAACCCGAAGAUAUUGCUCGUUCUCUUCUAAGAAUGAUCUCAAAUAAUAUUGGACAG